GUGUUUUAUUUAAUCUUUAAUCGUUUUUUUUUUUUUUAAUUUUAUGAAUUCAAAACAGUAUCCGGACUAAACUUUGACAUAUAUCCAUCUGGGAUCCACUCAACAUCCUCUGAUCUUAACUAUUAGCCAAAAUGAUUCAUAGUUUCUGCCUUGUUAACUAAAAACGAACGUAUAAUUUGAUACAAACGAGUUUUUUUGACCAUGAAUUCCAAGAAUAAGUAUAAAACCUAUUAUUAAACCAGCUCAGGUUUUUAAAAAAGCGAAAAAAGCACCAACAGCAUUUUAAAUAAGUGAUGAAAUAA